UUACGGCCACAUCACAGUGAAACACCGGUUUCCGUACGAUGACCGAAGUUAAGCAAUGUUGAAUCUGGUUAGUACCAAGGUGAGUGACCGCUGGGGAAUACCAGGUGCUGUAAGC